rnacentral:tRNA from 1 species
GCAUUGGUGGUUCAGUGGUAGACUUCUCGUCUCCCAUGCGGGAGACCCGGGUCCGAUCCCCGGCCAAUGCA